GUGAUAUUGAAAAAGUCUCAUGAGAUCUGAUGGGUUUAUCAGGGGUUUCCACUUUUGCUUCUUCCUCAUUUUCUCUUGCUGCCACAGUGUAAGAAGCUCCUUUCACCUUUGACCUCCCGCCAUGAUUCUGAGCCCUCCCGAGCCAUGCAGAACUUUUGCAGAUAUAUUGUUCAGUCAAGGUCCUUCCUUGAAUGAUUCAGAAUGUAGCAUCUUCCUCCAAAUCCAUCUGAAUAUAGCAGCAAGAAGAUCCUCGCCAGAUACGUGGGCCUCUUGAACUUGGACUUCCCAGCCUGCAGAAUGGGCCCGUUACUGUCAGAUUCCGGCAGUUGACCCUGGUGAUUUCACAGCAGCAAGCACUGCAGGCGUUCCCAACACACAAGGCAAACUCUGUAUAUGGGCUCACCACCCACAGAUCCAGCUGUCUGUCAUGUCGUUCCCAUAUUGAAGGAACAUAACCUGUUAUUAAGCCAAUUCAGCCCUGGAAGAAGGAACAAGUUUCCAAAAUGCAAUCUUUGAGUUUGGAAAAUGGCAUUUGAGAGGUAUAAAUAAAGCUAAAUUCUUAUAGAAC
rnacentral:lncRNA from 10 species